UACGUAGGCAGCAAGCGUUGUUCGGAAUUACUGGGCGUAAAGGGUGCGUAGGUGGCGCUGUAAGUCGGGUGUGAAAUCUCGGGGCUUAACUCCGAAACUGCAUUCGAUACUGCCGUGCUUGAGGACUGGAGAGGAGACUGGAAUUUACGGUGUAGCGGUGAAAUGCGUAGAUAUCGUAAGGAAGACCAGUGGCGAAGGCGGGUCUCUGGACAGUUCCUGACGCUGAGGCACGAAGGCCAGGGGAGCAAACGGG
rnacentral:rRNA from 1 species